rnacentral:lncRNA from 1 species
UACUUUGUUCUUGAAAACUUUAGGAUGACUGGGUCUUUUUAUGUGGGAAUUAGAGCUUCAAAAACCUUGGUUUUUGGCGUAUUCCUCUCCCCAACACCUAUAUGUGUAGUUUUCUUUCCCCUCCCCUCCCCUCCCCUCCCUCCCUUCCCUUCCUCCCUCCCUUCCCUUCUUUCUUCCCUUCCCUUCCUUUCUUUGUUGCCUUUAUUCCUUCUUUCCAUCCCUCCCUUCUUUGUUCCUCUUCUCUUUUAGUAUUUAAACAUACAAUGCCAUGUUCUAGGCACUGUGCCAAGGGUGGGGUCAAAAAAUCACUCAUCUUUACAUUUACAGUAUUUCUCAAGUUCAUCUUCUAUGCCUGGCAUUGUACCAAGGACCCUGGGCACUAAGGAUGCAGCAGGAAAUGCAGCAGACUUCAUUUCUGCUCUUACAGGGCUUACAUUUGAGUGUUUUCUCUUCAAGAACCUGGACGUUUAGUCUAGGUUGUGUCUUCCGUGAGAAAGGCUGGCGUUGGGUAAGGCUGGAGAGACUGGAGCCAAGGACUCUGCAGGCCUUGAAGAUGCAAGCUGGUAUGAUGUGAACUGCCACAUGGCAGGGAACUGCAGGUACCCUCGAGGACGUGAGGACCUCAUUCUUACAUCUGCAAGAAACCAAAUUCUGCGGACAGCUAUGUGAACUUUAAAAGAAGACCUGGAACCUCCAGAAAGGAAUGCAGCCUGGCCAAUGUGCUGAUUGCAUCCUUGUGAGACUCUGAGCCAGAGGACCCAGCUAAACUCUGCCUGGACUCCUGACCCACGGAAACUAAACAGAUCUGAAGCCAAUCCCUGAGCCUCCUGGGCCAUACAC